AAAUUCCAGCAAUUAUCUUUUUCCUUCUAUUUUUUUUCACGAAAUUUUAAAUCCUUUACAAUAUCUUUUCCGAUUUUAAUACUCCUACUUUUCCUAAAACAAAGGAAAAAAUAAUACACAGUAUAAGGUAACUGAUCCAAUUUAAAAUGAAAAACCCUAAGAGUUCACGAAAAAUUCCAAACUCCCAAAUCUUUCAACUGCUGAGAGGAAGAGGAAGAAUUCAUGACAUUUCUUUCAAUAUUAUUCCAAAACUCUUCCAGAAUUUCUGAAUAUCUGCCGAUUCAAGUAUUAAACGCAGCAAGUAGGUGAAAUUCUUCAAGAAAACCGAAGCAAAGGGGCGAAAUUCGGAUUACCAUUCGAGCUUUAAAAGGGAUUGAUGCUACUGGUGCUGCUGGGACUGAUGUUGCUGGUGUUGCAUAGAUGAAGAAUGGUGAGCGUGAGCUAAUGCUCCUGCGAAUGAUCCAAUCAUUUGUCGUUGGGAUCCAUCUUAGGAGUAGCCUUGACGGUGAAUAAUGAGCCAAAUGGAGAAGAUCAAACAUAGAUAUCUCACAUCUUCUAUGGCACGUACUUGUCAAAUGAGGUGAACAAUGAGCCAAUGGAGGAGAUCAAACAUGGAUGUCUUACUAUAUACACCAUCAAUGGUCGGAUUUAGCUAGCUGUAUAAUAGUGAGAUGGUGCUUGCAGGUGUUAUUUAGAAGGAAACUAGUAUGCUAGAAUAUUUUGUGGUACAUUAAGCAGUUAUUUAGUUUGGUUUGAUGUAAUACAUUUUGUUUAUAUUAGUAGGAAUUUAGUCAUGAUUGUAGUACUCUUAUAAAUUCAUUAAUCUCGAAAAUUUCAAUACAAAUAUAAUAACUACUAUUUAGAGCUUC